GACGAACGCUGGCGGCGGGCUUAACACAUGCAAGUCGAACGGAAAGGCCCUGCUUGUUUGGUGUGCUCGGGUGGCGAACGGGGGAGUAUGACGUGAGUAACGUGCCCUUGACUUUGGGAGAGCUUCAGGAAGCGGGAGCUAAGACAGUAUAGGAUCUCCUGCUGCAUGGAGGGCGUUGGAAAGUUUCGGCGGUUGGGGAUGGACGCGCGGCUGACCAGCUUGCUGGUUGGGUAGUGGCUGACCAAGGCUUUGGCGGGUCGCCGGCCUGAGUGCGUGAACGGCCACAUUGGGACUGAGGUACGGCCCAGACUCCUACGGGAGGCAGCAGUCGCGAAUAUUGCACAAUGGGCGCAAGCCUGAUGACGCAACGCCGCGUGCGGAAUGACGGCCUUCGGGUUGUAAAACGCUUUCGCCUGUGACGACGCGGGAGUGACGGUAAUGGAUAAAGAAGCACCGGCUAACUACGUG
rnacentral:rRNA from 1 species